UCGAAUAAACUUGAACAGGCUGUUGCUGGUCCCUUGGGACAUGUGCACGCUUGUCAUCUUUAUCAUUUCUCCAACUGUGCACAUACUUUGUAGACCUUGGAGGGGGGAAUGGAAUUCGUUCCGAGUGGGGACUGCUGUGCCUUCAAAAAAAGAGGUCGGCUUUCCCUUUGAAAGGUCUAUGUCAUUUUUUCACAACCAAUAUGUCUAGAAUGUUGAAAUACAUAAAAGUUAUAAAAAA
rnacentral:misc_RNA from 1 species